ACCUCCCACUUCCCAAGGCCUGAGCCUGCAUAGGAUUUGGAGACUAAGGAGGCGUGUGCGCGCAGGCGCACGGGCACUGAAAACAUGGCGGCGGCCGAGCGGGCGUGGGGGGCUGCAGCUGGUGUAGCUCGGCUGUGCAGGCGGUUCUGUCAUGUGACUCCGUACACCUUUAAGAAACAACCUCUGCACCAAUAUGUGCGAAGACCACCUUUCCUGAUGUGUGCACCCUUGUUUAACCCAGUGCGAUUCAUGUUUAUUCAAACACAAGACACCCCAAAUCCCAACAGCUUAAAGUUUAUACCAGGAAAGCCAGUUCUUGAGACGAGGACCAUGGACUUCCCCACGCCAGCCGCAGCUUUCCGCUCCCCUCUGGCCAGGCAGUUAUUCAGGAUUGAAGGAGUAAAAAGUGUCUUCUUUGGGCCAGAUUUCAUCACAGUCACAAAGGAAAAUGAAGAAUUAGACUGGAAUUUACUGAAACCAGAUAUUUAUGCAACAAUUAUGGACUUCUUUGCGUCUGGCUUACCUCUAGUGACUGAGGAAACACCCCCAGGAGAAGCAGGUUCUGAGGAAGAUGAUGAGGUGGUGGCAAUGAUUAAAGAACUGUUGGACACUAGGAUACGGCCUACUGUGCAGGAGGAUGGUGGUGACGUGAUCUACAGAGGCUUUGAAGAUGGCAUUGUGCGGCUGAAACUCCAGGGCUCCUGCACCAGCUGCCCCAGCUCCAUCAUCACCCUGAAAAGCGGGAUUCAGAACAUGUUGCAGUUUUAUAUUCCAGAAGUGGAAGGUGUAGAGCAGGUGAUGGAUGAUGAGUCAGAUGAAAAAGAAGCAGAUUCACCUUAAAUAAUCUGCAUUUUCUUUGGCCGAAACCUUUGGAUCUAACUGUACAGAGCCUUAUUAAUCUCUGCAAUGGAGGUGUGAUGGUGGAGGUACAAGGUAGACAUUUUCCAUUGCCAUGUGCACAGCCCCUGUAUUGGUCUGCUUUCGGGGUUCUGGACCCUCAUCACAGAGGGAGGAGGCACUAGUGCCGUCUGCUGGGUAAGGAUCUUCCCUGCUUGUCUUCAGUGCAGAGCUGCAGUAGACCAGAUCAGUAGGGCAUGCAUGUGGGUCUGUUUCACCACCAAAUAGGUUCCUACUCUGCACUGCCUCUCACACUUAAUGUCAGCUAAUAAAUCCCCCUCUCCCUCCAGUUUACAUGGGUUUCUGUUGUCAUUUGUAAAGUUUGGAAAAAAUCAAUAAAAUUACUGGUUUUCCAGAGUG